UGGUCUAGUGGUUAGGAUUUGGUGCUCUCACCACCAAGGCCCGGGUUCGAUUCCCGG
rnacentral:tRNA from 1 species